rnacentral:rRNA from 1 species
UACGGAGGGUGCAAGCGUUGUCCGGAUUUAUUGGGUUUAAAGGGUGCGCAGGUGGGUCAUUAAGUCUGAUUUGAAAGCGUGUCGCUUAACGAUACGAUGUGGUUGGAAACUGGUGGUCUUGAAUGGCGUAGCGGGAGCCGGAAUGGGUCAUGUAGCGGUGAAAUGCAUAGAUAUGACCCGGAACACCGAUUGCGAAGGCAGGCUCCUGGGCGCUGAUUGACACUGAGGCACGAAAGCAUGGGUAGCGAACAGG